GGAGGUAUGACUCAUAUGACAGAGUGCCUGCCUAGUAAGCCUGAAACCCUGAGUUCAAAUCCCAGUACUUCCA
rnacentral:tRNA from 1 species